GGGUGAGUAACACGUGGAUAACCUACCUAUAAGACUGGGAUAACUUCGGGAAACCGGAGCUAAUACCGGAUAAUAUUUUGAACCGCAUGGUUCAAAAGUGAAAGACGGUCUUGCUGUCACUUAUAGAUGGAUACGCGCUGCAUUAGCUGGUUGGUAAGGUAACGGCUUACCAAGGCAACGAUGCAUAGCCGACCUGAGAGGGUGAUCGGCCACACUGGAACUGAGACACGGUCCAG
rnacentral:rRNA from 1 species